rnacentral:rRNA from 1 species
AACGCGAAGAACCUUACCUGGGCUUGACAUGCAGAGGAAAUGCUCUCGAAAGUGAGCACCUCCCGCAAGGGAUCUCUGUGCAGGUGGUGCAUGGCUGUCGUCAGCUCGUGCCGUGAGGUGUUGGGUUAAGUCCCGCAACGAGCGCAACCCUCGUCCUAUGUUGCCAGCGGGUAAUGCCGGGGACUCAUAGGAGACUGCCGGGGUCAACUCGGAGGAAGGUGGGGAUGACGUCAAGUCCUCAUGCCCCUUAUGUCUUGGGCUGCAAACAUGCUACAAUGGCCAGUACAAAGGGUUGCGAGACCGCAAGGUGGAGCGAAUCCCAAAAAGCUGGUCUCAGUUCGGAUUGGGGUCUGCAACUCGACCCCAUGAAGUCGGAGUCGCUAGUAAUCGCAGAUCAGCAACGCUGCGGUGAAUACGUUCCCGGGCCUUGUACACACCGAUAGC